CAAAGUAAAAGAUGCCUUAGGAAGCAAUGAACAACUCAUCCUGACAGACCACAAUGGAGUGGAAAUAUUGGACUCAGAAGGAACAAGAAGCACCUUUUAUUGGAAGCAGAACUCACGAAAAAUCAUGGCUGUACCAGAGGUUGAUUUCCAAGCUGUGCAACAAAAGAGGCGAAGAAUCUCACGCAGAGAUGAUGAGGGUGGACUGGACAGUGUG